UAAUUUUUUUUUUUUAUUGAGGAUAACCUGAAAUCUCUAGUCACUCAAUUAACCUCUAAUUUCCCAUUAAUUCUUCUAAUUACUCAUAACUCUUACUAAUUAAACUAUUUAUAAUUAAGUUUAUUUAUAAAUUAAAAAAAAAAAAACAAAAACCACCCUCAGCUCACUACCACCCGCCAGCCACCCUCUCCUUCUCCCCCUCCUGUGGUGUGCAGUGGCAGCAGCCCCCUCCCUCAUCUCCAACCCCAACCCCCAUCGACCAACCUCUAUCGCCGAACCGACCUCCUCCCUUUCCCUUUUACCCUCGCCGCGAUCACCCUACUAAACCCUAACCCAAAAUUUCCACCCAAAGAAACCCCUCACACUAGAUCUUCUUCUCCUACGUUAGCGAGUAAUUCGCUGAAUGAAAUCCGUCAGUUUGGGCGGCGAAAUCUAAUGUAGAUCAUCAACAUCUGUUCGAACUGCUGUCGCACCAAAAUCGAUACCAGUAUCAGCACAAGCACAGGUAGCAUCAUUGAAAUCGGUACCAAUACCAGCACAAAGCACCGGUACCAGCACCAAUACCUAUAAUAACGAAGCUACCACCAAUCCUACAUGGACAAUAUGGUGGGAAUUAGUUUUAAACCCAACGCAAAUAGGGAAUUAUUUAAUCUUUAAGCAAUUUUGAGGGAAAUUAUUCAAUUAUUAAUAGUUAAAAUACUAAUUAACAAGCAUAAUUAAUGAAACAAGACAAGUAAAAAAGAAGAAGGGAGUAGUUCACUACAUUAUCAAAUUAAGGCCGUUUUCCGUUAUUAAUUUCGUUCCAAUUAAGCAUAAUCCUCCAAACUGAAAUCCAAAAAACUCCCUACAACUCUACAACACAAUCAAAUAUACAAAAUCCCCAAAUACCAAAAUCUCUCUCUAGUCUCUACUUCAAUGGCAGCUACUAGAACAUCCGUUCCUGCAACUCUCACUUUUCUCUUCUUCCUCCUCUUACUCUAUACUACUUCAUGUUCUUCCAUGGCAGUAAGAUCAUCAAAAAACUUACAAGCAGCUUCAAAUCAGAAGAAACAAUCAAGAAAUACCCAGAAAAAUCAGAUCCCAAAUUGCGGCGUAAUCGUCGAAAAUUCUCUCUGCACUUCCAAUCCUAAAUGUCGAUGGUGUCGCAGCGAUGUGCUUGAUUCUAUGUGUACUACUAAGCCUGAAGCUUGGCGCCUUCCUUCCCAGAUCUUCACUUGCGAUUGAGCUUAUUUCAUUCAUUUUCUCUCUCUUUUGACCUGUUAUUGACCGAUUUAUUGAAGAACUUUUGGGGUUAAGGGAUUGAAGUUUUUUUGUUUUGGGUUUUCAAAAUUGACAUUAUUUUGUGUUGUAUGUGGAAGUCAACUAGCUUAUUUGAUUCAAGUCAACUAGAUUGUAUUCCAUCAAGUGAUUAUUACCUUUGUGGCUUUGUUGUGUUUGGUGUUCAAUGAAUUUGUUGUAGUUGGACCAGCUAUUAAUAGGAAUUAUUAUUCGGCAAUUCAAUGUAAAGAUUUGUGAUGAAUUUGCAUAUUUUGUUGGUUGAAUUAAUGGAUAAACUUUGGAUUAUAUAUGUAAUUUUUGGAUGCAUUAUUAUGAA